rnacentral:lncRNA from 1 species
CGUGCAUCUGGGCCGUCCGUGCGCACGCUUGAUCUGGGCCGUCCGUGCGUGCGGGGACGCAUCUGGGCCGUCCGAUCGCGCGCACACGGAUCGCCCACGUGGCCCGUUCCCGGGUCGACGUGGUCUUGCCACGCGGUAGGUCCUGGUUGGCCAGGGCUGCUGACUGGGCCGCUGACGUGGCUGCUGACGUGGCGCUGACGGGGC